rnacentral:rRNA from 1 species
AUGCUCUCUUUCUUUUACACAACUAUUGGGUUUUAUCUCAACACAAUGAUGGUUGUGCUAACCGUAUAUGCAUUUGUGUGGGGCCGCUUUUAUCUUGCACUUAGUGGGCUCGAAGACUAUAUCAGCAGCAACACUAGCUCUAUUGAUAAUGCAGCUCUGGGGGCUGUGUUGAACCAGCAGUUUAUCGUACAGCUUGGCCUGUUCACAGCAUUGCCCAUGAUUAUUGAGAGCUCACUUGAGCAUGGUUUUCUGACCGCGGUGUGGGAUUUCAUAAUAAUGCAGUUGCAGUUUGCGUCUGUCUUCUACACCUUCUCCAUGGGGACCAAGACACACUAUUUUGGGCGGACACUUCUUCAUGGAGGUGCAAAGUACCGUCCUACUGGCCGUGGUUUCGUGGUGGAGCACAGGAAAUUUUCCGACAACUAUAGGCUAUACGCCCGUAGCCAUUUCAUGAAAGCAAUAGAGCUUGGUGUGAUAUUGUCCCUUUAUUUCUCUUAUAGCAACGUCUCUGGGAGUACGUUGGUGUACAUCCUGCUGACGCUUUCUAGUUGGUUUCUAGUAUGCUCGUGGAUUCUUGCCCCCUUCAUUUUUAACCCAUCGGGUUUGGACUGGCAGAAGAAUGCCGAUGAUUUUGAGGAUUUCUUCAACUGGAUUUGGUUCCGGGGUGGAAUUUUGGUCAAGUCCGAGCAAAGCUGGGAGAGGUGGUGGGAAGAGGAAACCGACCAUCUCCGAACCACUGGCCUGUGGGGGAGCAUCAUUGAGAUCAUACUGGACCUCCGGUAUUUCUUCUUCCAGUAUGCUAUUGUGUAUCGGCUUCACAUAGCCGGUGGGAGUAGAAGCAUCCUUGUCUAUGUUCUAUCAUGGGUAUGCAUACCGAUGGCUCUUGUGGCUCUUGUCACGAUUACCUACUUCAGAGACAAAUAUUCAGCAAAGAAGCACAUCCGCUACCGGCUUGUCCAGGCUGUUACUGUUUGUGCCUCUUUGGCGGCUAUAGUUGUGCUGCUUGCACUUACAGAGUUCCAGUUCAUUGACACUUUCACCUGUCUCUUGGCUUUUAUACCAACUGGCUGGGGGAUCAUAUCCAUUGCUCUGGUUUUCAAGCCGUGCCUGGGGAAGUAUGGCACUGUUUGGAAAACCGUGGUUGAUGUGGCACGUUUUUAUGAUAUAAUGUGCGGAUUAAUUGUGAUGGCACCGAUAGCUAUCUUGUCAUGGUUGCCCGGACUCGAGGAGAUGCAAACAAGGAUCCUGUUUAACGAAGCUUUCAGUAGGGGACUUCAUAUUUCCCAAAUGAUUACUCGCAAAAAAGCACGUGGAGCUUAA